rnacentral:rRNA from 1 species
UACAGAGGGUGCGAGCGUUAAUCGGAAUUAAUGGGCGUAAAGCGUGCGUAGACGGUCAUGUAAGUCGGGUGUGAAAUCCCCGGGCUCAACCUGGGAAUUGCAUUCGAGACUGCGUGGCUAGGGUGCGGAAGAGGGAAGCGGAAUUUCCGGUGUAGCGGUGAAAUGCGUAGAUAUCGGAAGGAACAUCAGUGGCGAAAGCGGCUUCCUGGUCCAGCACCGACGUUCAGGCACGAAAGCGCGGGGAUCAAACAGG